GGCUGUAAUCUUACUGGUUAAGAGCUUGGCUGCUAACCAAAAGAUCGGCAGUUCAAAUCUACCAGCCA
rfam:Loxodonta africana unplaced genomic scaffold scaffold_7, whole genome shotgun sequence.